rnacentral:tRNA from 1 species
GUAGCUCAGUGGUACAGUACUUGCCUAAUGCGCAUGAGGCACUGAGUUCAAUCCUCAGC